rnacentral:rRNA from 1 species
UACGUAGGGUGCAAGCGUUGUCCGGAUUUAUUGGGCGUAAAGAGCGUGUAGGCGGCCAAGUAGGUCCGUUGUGAAAACUGGAGGCUUAACCUCCAGCUGUCGAUGGAAACCAUUUGGCUAGAGUCCGGAAGAGGAGAGUGGAAUUCCUGGUGUAGCGGUGAAAUGCGCAGAUAUCAGGAAGAACACCCGUGGCGAAGGCGGCUCUCUGGGACGGUACUGACGCUGAGACGCGAAAGCGUGGGGAGCGAACAGG